rnacentral:misc_RNA from 1 species
GUAGCAGAGCUUCUGUCAUUGAUGGGUUCUUUGCGUCCUCAAUCCUCAGAAAGGAAGUUGAAAUGGGGAGUAAUUAGGCGUCAACUUUUGCAGGAACUAAAUUUGGCUGAAGCUGUUGUGAAUAGGUUGCAGACUGUUGGUUUGAGGUUCUGUGGAGCUGCAGACCAGGCCCUUCCUCGAUUAAGGGGAGCCCUCCCAGCUGAUAAACCCACGCGGAAGGCGCUUGAUGAGUUGUCAGAUCUGAUUAUCUAUUUGAGAGUUUGGAAGAUAGAAGACCAUGUUUAUAUAAAUGUGCUAAUGCCACCAACUGAGAAUUAUCACAGAGAUUUGUUUUUUCAGAUAUAUCUAAUGGAGAACAAUCCUGGAUCACUUAGUGAAGGCACAUUGCUUGCUGUAGGAGGCCGC